ACUAGUAAUGCCUAGUGUCGUGUAUGACUCAAAUGCAUCGAAUACGGGAGCUAGGAAAUGAGAAAUAUCAGCUUGUACACGCCCUUAACCUACAGAUGACUUCUUUGUUAAAGAUAGAGGCAGUUCUUAUCACCGUUCUGUUGUGCUUUCUUUGCUCUCAACUUGCAUCUUCAGUGGCAGAAGAGACCAAUUACCCUAAUGGAGCAGAGAUAACAUUC